AUGUGUGACCAGGAUUCGGGGAUGCCGGGAGCCACUGUGGGGACUGCCCAGCACACGGGCACAGACGAGGCCCUGGGACCUGAGCCUAACCCUACUGGGAGCCCCUGGAAGUCUGUGCUGUGCGAGGACAAGACAGCCCCCUGCCCAGCUCAUUUUGUUGGAGAUCCUCAAACCAAGAUGUUCACAUGCUGCCUGCCGAAGUCCAGAGGUUGCAGGCUGAAGAAAGCGCGCCCUGCAGACGCUGUCCCCCGCUGGGGAUUUUGUGUCAGGGCUCCCCACCGCCUCUGGCCAUUUGGCCAGAAGGACAGAAAGAAGUCAAUGGAUGACAUGGAGAGGUGGCUGGUGGACACACCCUCCAUCUCCUGGACAGAGGGGUUGACCCCACAGGGGUCCCUAGGAGCAGGUGCUGGGGAUUGCCAAAGAAGGCCUCCGACACCACCCAGACCACUGUCCCAGGUGGUUGUCCACCGGACAGUGGUCCAGGAGCUGGAGCCCACAGAGGCCGAGCCCGAGGGUGAGAAGGCUGGGGCUGGGUGUUUGUGGUGUGUGGGGAUGGGUCGGUGCUGGCCCCACAGGGAGGAGCCCCAGAGGCUGGUGUGGGGCCAGGAGCAACGACUGGGCACAGGGCACCCAGCGGGUGGACCGCAGUCGGGGAGACGUCCCCGUGAGGGUCCCUUCCUGGCUGCGGCUUCUCUGGGAGGCCCUGGGCUGGGUUCUGUCUUGUAAAGGCCCACGGAGAGCAGGCACGGGGGCGAGCUUUUCUCCUCUCACAGCUGCUCCACCACCUGAGGAGCUAGAGCCGGCUCCAACUCCAUCAACAGCUCUGGAGGGAAGAGGGAGUGACUGCAGCGACUUCAGGAGGAGACCAGGAGCCGGCAGGUGACCCGGCACCCGCCCACGGAGAGCCUGACGCAAACCAGGAAGAACAGGCACCUGCUCCUGCCCCAGCCCCUGCCCCUGCUACAGUUCCUGCCGCUCCCCUGCCCCUGUCCCUGGCCCUGCUCUCACACCCGGCCCUGCCCCUAUCCUAACCCCUGCCCCUACUCCUGCUCCUGCAGGGAUCCCACAGCCACACCCAGAGCCCACAGCCCUGCAGGGAGAGCUCCCUGUACAAUUACCCUUAGUUCCAUCACCGGACCCCGACGCCCCGCCAGAUUGUUUCGUCCCCUCCCCCUAUGUUCUUACUCUCUGGUUCAUAUUAACUGUUAUUUUAUCUUUUCAUGUUCUGUAUACUGU
ensembl:lncRNA